AUUUAGGAUUUGAACGACUCUCAGUCUUUCCUUGACGCCCAUCUCUAUGGUUGGCAUAUAGCCAUUCUAUACUCUGGAGGACUCAGCGAGCAUGGCCAAUCAUUAGGCCACUUUAUGGGCACGUGGCCGGAAGUGCCGCUUGCUACUGGUUAAUAGCAGUAAAGCCCGCCCAACCACGUCCUGUCAGCUACUUUAAGCAGAAGCUCGGCUAGAGCCGCUUUCCUUUCAGCGACUGUGAAGCUAGGAGAUCCCGGCCGGGAGGACGUCGGAUCUCGGUGUUCUCCCAAUCUUUCGACCCUCCCCCAAAGCCCCUCAAUAAAGUGCAUUGAUCUCA